rfam:Homo sapiens chromosome 3, GRCh38 reference primary assembly.
AAAAUGGCUUUUCUAAAGGCCACCUUUAGAUCAAAAUACUUAAUCU